rnacentral:lncRNA from 1 species
GGAGUCAGCCCGCCUGCACCCAGGUGACUAAAAACCUUUAUUGCUCACACAAAGCCUGUUUGAUGGUCUCUUCACAUGGACACGUGUGACAAAUAGGUUUUAUUUAACCUUAUAUAUCAUGACUUACUCUCCAGUCUGACUGUGGAAUGACAUUAUGUGACAAAGAAGAAAGUCAAAAUAUUUUACCUCAAAACAUGUUUCUUUGCCAUAUCUUGAAAUGGCCCCACAAAGCUGUCCUUUGUGGGAGAAAAUUUGCAUCUGUAAAAAAUCUCUAUUAACAUAGCUAGAUCUUUUUCUUUUUAAGAGAUUAACUAAGAGCCUACCACCUUUUAAAGAUCUGAAUAGAAAACAUUUGUCAUCUAUUGUCUCUAAGGUCAGCCACCAUAAGACUUCCAAAGAACCUUGUUCUCCACAAUGUUUUAUCUUAACCUGAACAUUUCCUUUCUAUUGAUCCCAGGUCUUUAGACAAACUCAACCAACUGUCAACCAGAAAAUGUUUAAAUGUAGCCUGGAAGCCCCCACUUUGAGUUGUCCCACCUUUCUGGAUCAAACCAAUGUAUUUCUUAAAUGUAUUUGAUUGAUGUCUCAUGCUUCUCUAAAAUGUAUAAAACCAAGCCACACCCUGACCACCUUGGGCAUGUGUUCUCAGGACCUCCUGAGGGCUGUGUCAUGGGCCAUGGUCACUCAUAUUUGGCUCAGAAUAAAUCUCUUCAAAUAUUUACAGAGUUUGACUCUUUUUCUUGACAAUAAUUUGGUGCCCCAAAAACGUAGGGCUUCAGAGAAGACUCAGGACCCAGAAGGAAUUGCCUGAAACCAGAGCUAUGGUACCAGCUGGGGUCCAUUGAAGCCUGACUGAGUUCGAGAUUCUCCUCCAGUGAAAAUGCAAUUUGGCAUGCAAACACGUGGGGCCUCAGAGAAGACUCAGGACCUUGAAGGAGUUGCCCAACUCAGAGCUAUGGUACUAGCAGGGGUCCACUGAAGCCUCCGCAAGUUGCAGCUUCUCCUCUGGUAAAACUGGAAAUGUUAAUUGGACAUGCUAAAUGGGAACUAGUAAAAUCGCCUCAGCCCACAAAGUAUAGGGUAGAAGCUGGAGUGCUAAUCAGGACAGAUCCUCCACUGCACAGUCCUUUGUGUGGAGCAUUUAUCAGGGAUAAUGGCAAAAAAACGGAAACAAAAAUCAUGGCAUUUUGAAGACCAGAGAUAUGAAUCUCCUUCAUCUGGCGUCCCACUGGGCUGGAAUCCUUUUCACUGAGAAAGCUCUGCUUCUAAAACUAUACAAGCACCCUCCCUCUAGGCUCAGGGACUGUUGCAGAGAAGGUGGGCCCAUAAGAUAAUAAGGACCAGUUACGAGCGAUAAAAUUAGGUCAAGAUCAAACCUCCAAAUCAAGAAGGGGUACAAAGAUGCCUAAACAACUGGUAAAGCACCUUUAGUUGCCUUCUAAAUGAUUAUGUGUCACUUUUCAUCCACCCCAACUAUAGAGUGUUUUCUGCUUACAAUAGAAUUAAAGGAAAAUAUUUACUAACAGAAUAUAGAUACCUUGUAACAAAGCCUCCUGGAUAUAAUACUCCCAGUCAUGAGUUGUGAAGAUAAAUAUAGAUAUACAGAGAUAUAUACACAUAUUUUAAAUUAUUUUUAGAACAAUGCUUUUGUUUUGUAUAGCUAAUUGCUAUAAGCCUGUAACAAAAAACAAGCUUACAGUAUCUCAACACAUAGAAGUUAAAAAUAAAUCAGUCUUAUAAAUUUGCCUUUUUGUUUUGUUUGUUGGCUUUUUACUUAAAAUAAUAACUUGAAGAGGUAAUGAAUGCCUGUCCACAUCUAUUCCUAUCUGGCCUAGAACAGUUAAUUGGCUGUAAGUGUUUUGACUCUUAAGGCCCUAUGCCUCAGGGAGCCCCACCAAGGGACAGGAUAGACCCAGGGCAGGCAGCCAUGCUGAGAGGUGACAGCGUGCUGGCAGUCCUCGCAGCCCUCGCUUGCUCUCGGUGCCUCCUCUGCCUGGGCUCCCACUUUGGCGGCACUUGAGGAGCCCUUCAGCCCGCCGCUGCACUGUGGGAGCCCCUUCAUGGGCUGGCUGAGGCCGGAGCCGGCUCCCUCAGCUUGCGGGCAGGUGUGGAGGGAGAGGUGCGGGCGGGAACCAGGGCUGCGUGGGCUGCUGGCGGGCCACGGUAGUUCCAGGUG